AUUGAACGCUGGCGGCAGGCCUAACACAUGCAAGUCGAGCGGAUGAAGGGAGCUUGCUCCUGGAUUCAGCGGCGGACGGGUGAGUAAUGCCUAGGAAUCUGCCUGGUAGUAGGGGAUAACGUCCGGAAACGGGCGCUAAUACCGCAUACGUCCUGAGGGAGAAAGUGGGGGAUCUUCGGACCUCACGCUAUCAGAUGAGCCUAGGUCGGAUUAGCUAGUUGGUGGGGUAAAGGCCUACCAAGGCGACGAUCCGUAACUGGUCUGAGAGGAUGAUCAGUCACACUGGAACUGAGAAACGGUCCAGACUCCUACGGGAGGCAGCAGUGGGGAAUAUUGGACAAUGGGCGAAAGCCUGAUCCAGCCAUGCCGCGUGUGUGAAGAAGGUCUUCGGAUUGUAAAGCACUUUAAGUUGGGAGGAAGGGCAGUAAGUUAAUACCUUGCUGUUUUGACGUUACCAACAGAAUAAGCACCGGCUAACUUCGUG
rnacentral:rRNA from 1 species